GGUAGUUCUGCUCAGGCCUGGGCGUUGCUGGUCAGUCCUGAUCUAUUCUGACCGGAUCUGGGCAGUUUGGGUCUUAGUCUACCCGGCCUGUGAAUAAUUCUGUUUAUGACAGGGAGCCAAGCACCAUGACCCUGCCUAUACAUGUAUCAACAACUUCCAUGACCCUUCACCCCCGGGCCACGCCCAGCACAGGCCCCGCCUCCUGCCUGCACUACAGCCAGCUCGCCCCCUCUCUCACAGGCCUGAGCUGUCUACGGAGGAGCCCAGCGUCAAGGUCACCAAGCACAGAGCUCCGCCCCUACACCUGUUCAACAGGUGGCAAUAAGGGGCAAUAAGGCCAGACAGCCCCAGGUCUCUGAGGACAUGCACCUGUAACCAGGGGCCCUGAUGGAUCCACGUGAUCACUCUCCACCAGCAAGGGAAUCUGCCACACUACAUUCCUGAGGAAGGGAGUCAUUCAGCCCUGAGACUACAGUAGUGUAGGGUCUAGACCCAUUUUGGACAUCAACUCUAAUACCUGCAGCAAAAAACUAAUACCUUUCACAGGUACUGAUUACCUUGGUUUUUACAUGUGCCUGUAAGUUAUUAGCAUGGAUUUUCUUCUUUGCCAGGUGUGUUCUAUAUCCUUGAGAUACUUGAGUGUUUUGCUUGCCCUUCACUGAACUGUA